CCAGACUCCUACGGGAGGCAGCAGUGAGGAAUAUUGGUCAAUGGCCGCAGGGCUGAACCAGCCAAGUCGCGUGAGGGAUGACGGCCCUACGGGUUGUAAACUUCUUUUGUCAGGGAGCAAUUGGGUCCACGCGUGGGCUUAGCGAGAGUACCUGAAGAAAAAGCAUCGGCUAACCCCGUGCCAGCAGCCGCGGUAAUACGGAGGAUGCGAGCGUUAUCCGGAUUUAUUGGGUUUAAAGGGUGCGUAGGCGGGCAUUUAAGCCGGCGGUCAAAUGUCGGGGCUCAACCCCGGCCUGCCGUCGGAACUGGGUGCCUUGAGUGCGGCGGAGGCAUGCGGAAUGCGCGGUGUAGCGGUGAAAUGCAUAGAUAUCGCGCAGAACCCCGAUUGCGAAGGCAGCGUGCCGUGCCGCCACUGACGCUGAGGCACGAAAGCGCGGGGAUCGAACAGGAUUAGAUACCCCUGUA
rnacentral:rRNA from 1 species